CCUACGGGAGGCAGCAGUGAGGAAUAUUUGUCAAUGGGCUGGAGCCUGAACCAGCCAAGUCGCGUGAGGGAUGACGGCCCUAUGGGUUGUAAACCUCUUUUGCCGGGGAGCAAAGUGCCGCACGUGUGCGGUUUGGAGAGUACCCGGAGAAAAAGCAUCGGCUAACUCCGUGCCAGCAGCCGCGGUAAUACGGAGGAUGCGAGCGUUAUCGGGAUUUAUUGUGUUGAAAGGGUGAGUAGGCGGUCGCUUAAGUCAGCGGUAAAAGUGCGGGGCUCAACCUCGUCGAGCCGUUGAAUCUGGGUGCCGUGAGUGGGCGAGAAGUACGCGGAAUGUGUGGUGUAGCGGUGAAAUGCAUAGAUAUCACGCAGAACUCCGAUUGCGAAGGCAGCGUACCGGCGCCCAACUGACGCUGAAGCACGAAGGCGUGGGUAUCGAACAGGAGUAGAUACCCGGGUAGUC
rnacentral:rRNA from 1 species